rnacentral:tRNA from 1 species
GGGGCAAUAGCUCAGUUGGUCAGAGCAGCGGAAUCAUAAUCCGCGGGUCGGCGGUUCAAGUCCGCUUUAUGUUU